UACGUAGGGACCGAGCGUUUGUCCGGAUUCAUUGGGCGUAAAGAGCUCGUAGGCGGCUGCUCAAGUCGAAUGUGAAAACUCGAGGCUCAACCUCGAGCCUGCAUUCGAUACUGGGCGGCUAGAGUCUGGUAGGGGGAUCUGGAAUUCCUGGUGUAGCGGUGAAAUGCGCAGAUAUCAGGAGGAACACCAAUGGCGAAGGCAGCUCGCUGGGACGGUACUGACGCUGGAGACGCGAAAGCGUGGGGAGCAAACAGG
rnacentral:rRNA from 1 species